rnacentral:rRNA from 1 species
AUUGAACGCUGGCGGAAUGCUUUACACAUGCAAGUCGAACGGCAGCACGGACUUCGGUCUGGUGGCGAGUGGCGAACGGGUGAGUAAUGUAUCGGAACGUGCCCAGUCGUGGGGGAUAACGUAGUGAAAAUUACGCUAAUACCGCAUACGAUCUAUGGAUGAAAGCGGGGGAUCGCAAGACCUCGCGCGAUUGGAGCGGCCGAUAUCAGAUUAGGUAGUUGGUGGGGUAAAGGCCCACCAAGCCAACGAUCUGUAGCUGGUCUGAGAGGACGUACAGCCACACUGGAACGGGGACACGGUCCAGACUCCUACGGGAGGCAGCAGUGGGGAAUUUUGGACAAUGGGCGAAAGCCUGAUCCAGCCAUUCCGCGUGCAGGAUGAAGGCCCUCGGGUUGUAAACUGCUUUUGUACAGAACGAAAAGGUUUCUACUAAUACUGGGAGCUCAUGACGGUACUGUAAGAAUAAGCACCGGCUAACUACGUGCCAGCCGCCGCAGUAA